CAUUUUGAAGUUUGAGCAACUUUACAUUGCCAAACAUGUCCAAAUGUUCUCAAACCUUGUGGACUUGCUCAAAUGGUCUAAUAAUUCAUCUAGACCAAAUGGCACAAGUUGGAGAGCAAGUUAACUUGAUCAAAGUGCCCCAAAACCCUUUCUGUCCAGAACCUUAUUUGAACAACUUUGCAUUACCAACUUUCUCUCCUUGACACCAACUUUUGUGAGCAUGAUCACAUGACCAAAUGAGGCCACCACACCAAGUGGUGCAUCAAGGAGAAGUGAUUUGCUCAACUAAAUCUACACAAGUUCAUUUCUGCUAAUUUCUAGGGUUUACCAAAGUUGCAUUGUCAACUUUCUUCAAAUGACCUCCAAAUUGGUGGGAGGCCCUAAUUAUAUGUGUCAUAUCACCCUAUGGAGUCUCAUGGCUUAUGGGGAUCAUCUACUUUCCCAAACCAACAUCAAACACCUUCUGGCAUUUUGCAAAAACCACUAUUUGGACCCCUUCCACUAAUCUCCAUGACUUCUCCUUUUUACCACAGCCCCUCCUAGUUCCCCUCUACCUCUGGUGUGCUUCCCUGCCCGAGAGGCAAUGAUUAAGGGGGGAAGGGCUCCAUUUUUCUUCUCUGGACAUCCACUUUUUCCUUCCUUUGUCAUCUCUCUCUCACCCCUGGCAUGUUGCAGAGCAUCCAAAGCUUCUUUCACCUUUGUUUAUCCCCCCUGCAGCUACCAGACACAAGUGGACGCGCGGGUGCGCGCAAAAAGCUGCGGGUGCCGGCCAUUCGCGCGCUCUGGAGCACGUCAACGUGCUCCCGACCGUUGACACGGCACUCCCGACCACCUCGAGCCUCCCCCUCGCGCCAGUCGAUGCUCCUCGACGUCCACAACACGACACCGAGCUGGCCCCCUCCUCCUUCUCCCUCCUGCUGCCUCCUUUCACACGCGCGCCGGCCGCCCGAGAGCUCCAAUGGGCAUGCUCACACGCGCGGCGCCCUGACACUCACCCGCUCCUUCUCUUCCCUCCUCUAGCCCUGGACCAACCCCACGAACACCCCAGACAUACCCACGCGCGCCCCCGUGACCUCCAGCGACGGCUAGGAGCUCGCCGGCGCACGAGUCCACGGCACCCCGCCGUUCGCUUAUUUAAAGGCACCGCCGAGCUCUCUCUGGCCUCCUUUCGCUCCCUCUCCCUCCUAUGAACCCCCUGAACCAACCCACUCCCCUCCUCGCGCCCUCCAUAGCCCUCCAUGGCCGGAGAUCCGCCGCCGGCCUCCACCUAAAUUCAGCCGAGCCCGAGCUCCUCUCCCUCUCCCCUCUCCACCAGCAGCCUCCCCUGAGCAAGGCGGAGCUCCCACGCUCUUUCCCUCGUCCGGGGACGCACCGUAGCGCCAUGCCCAAACUCACCCGACGCCACCGUCCGCCGGCAUCCAAGCCGCCGUCGCCUNNNNNNNNNNCCUCUUACGGAAGGGAUGUGAGAUAUACACGGAUCACAAGGGUCUGAAGUAUAUUUUCACUCAAAAGGAAUUGAACACGAGGCAAAGAAGAUGGCUAGACUUGAUCAAAGAUUAUGACCUCAGUGUUCAAUACCACCCUAGGAAGGCUAAUGUGGUAGCAGAUGCAUUAAGCAGAAAGGCUUGUUCCUUGAAUGCUAUGCUUAAGGACAGGCUGCCCGCCUUGUAUGAAGAACUUGAAAGCUUCGGGUUGGAACUGGUUGCACCAGGAUUCUUAACUAACCUUGAAGUCAAGCCUUCAGGUGGCACCAUUUGAAGUGUUAUACGGACGGAAGUGCCGCAUACCCCUCAAUUAGUCAGAAACCGGAGAAGGACUUGUCUUUGGGCCUGAUAUCCUCCGUGAAACCGAAGAGCAAGUCCAGCUUGUCGGAGAGCGUUGGAGGACUGCCAAGUCAAGACGAAAGAACUACGCUGACUCAUGUCGUCGAGGCAUGACCCUCCGAGUUGGAGACCAUGUUUAUCUCCGGGUCACCCUCCCAAAGGAACCCAGCGCUUCCAUGUCAAAGGAAAGCUCGCCCCAAGAUUCAUCGGCCUUCUGCAGGAUCACUCCAAGAUUUAACAACCUCUUCUGAGAUCACUACGAGACGGAGAGAAGACAAUUACCAGCUGGAGUUGCCCCCUGAGCUACCUGAUGUGCACAAUGCUUUCCAUGCAUCACAACCCCGGAAGUGUUUCCAACUUCCUAGCUAGCCCGAGCACUAAUAAGGACAUUGACCACCGGGCCAUAGACCCCUAGCCCAAUCUAACCUACUGCGAGCUACACAUUAGCAGUUUGGAUCAAGAAGAGCGUCAUGCACGAAGCCACAACACCAGGUCCUUCAAGAUUCCAAGGAGCACCACUCAGUAGCAGAAGCAGUAUGAGGACGUGAAGAUUACCCCAGAUCCAAGAUUCUGUACUCCUUUCCGCGCCUAGUCUAGGAAUCUCGGGGACGAGAUUCUUGUAAGGGGGGUAGGUCUGUCACACCCUGAUUUUCAUGGCACAACACUUAAGUCAUUAGAUCAUGCUGAAAUGUGGUUUGACAAAAACUUUUGAGUGUUUUGGACUUUGCUUGAUUUGAUUUUUGUCUGCUGUUUGCAAGUGCUCUAAAAAUCAAGUAAACCCUCCAACUUCUAUACUUCAUCUCCUUGAUCCAAAACCUUUACCAAUGAUCAUGCCAUGUGUAUAGGAUAUAAAAAUAAUUUCUGGAAAAAAUAAUUUGGCCAAAUAGUAUUUUCAAAAAUUAGUUUUCUAAAAACCCCUAAAUUGAGGUUUGCACUGCAAAUACUUAAUUAAGGGCAGUAAAAAUCUUUCUAAAAAUGUAUUUGACUCCUAUUAGAUAUAGGAUACCCAGAAACCACAGAAAUAUAAUUUUAAAAGAUAUUUUCCUAUUUUAUUUAAAGGAUUUUUCUUAAGGCCAGAAAUGGUCUUUAAUAGGUAAAAAUUAUUUUAUUGCUUCAAAAACAUUUGACAAAAUUCAGGGAGACUCAUAGGACAUAUAUAGUCCAUAUAUAAGAGUUUCAACACAUGGUUAUGUUCAAAAUAUUGGUCAAACCCCUCAAAGACCCUUUCUGGAUAUUUCAAGCUUUUGAAAUAUUUACAAAGGAAAUAUUCUCCAAAUAUUCCAAGAAAAUUCUAUCAUGUCACAUAUGACAUAUUUGGUGAUCUUGCCAAGUCUCAUGACUUGGAGAACAAGAUAGCAUCAUCAAAACCUCUCAAAACCAUUUCUGUCCAUUUUGAAGUUUGAGCAACUUUACAUUGCCAAACAUGUCCAAAUGUUCUCAAACCUUGUGGACUUGCUCAAAUGGUCUAAUAAUUCAUCUAGACCAAAUGGCACAAGUUGGAGAGCAAGUUAACUUGAUCAAAGUGCCCCAAAACCCUUUCUGUCCAGAACCUUAUUUGAACAACUUUGCAUUACCAACUUUCUCUCCUUGACACCAACUUUUGUGAGCAUGAUCACAUGACCAAAUGAGGCCACCACACCAAGUGGUGCAUCAAGGAGAAGUGAUUUGCUCAACUAAAUCUACACAAGUUCAUUUCUGCUAAUUUCUAGGGUUUACCAAAGUUG
rnacentral:lncRNA from 1 species